AGAGUUUGAUCCUGGCUCAGGAUGAACGCUAGCGACAGGCUUAACACAUGCAAGUCGAGGGGCAGCAUGAGGUAGCAAUACCUUGAUGGCGACCGGCGCACGGGUGAGUAACGCGUAUGCAACCUGCCCGAUACCGGGGUAUAGCCCAUGGAAACGUGGAUUAACACCCCAUAGUACUUUUAUCCUGCCUGGGAUGGGAGUUAAAUGUUCAAGGUAUCGGAUGGGCAUGCGUCCUAUUAGUUAGUUGGCGGGGUAACAGCCCACCAAGACGAUGAUAGGUAGGGGUUCUGAGAGGAAGGUCCCCCACAUUGGAACUGAGACACGGUCCAAACUCCUACGGGAGGCAGCAGUGAGGAAUAUUGGUCAAUGGACGUAAGUCUGAACCAGCCAAGUCGCGUGAGGGAAGACUGCCCUAUGGGUUGUAAACCUCUUUUAUAAGGGAAGAAUAAGUUCUACGUGUAGAAUGAUGCCUGUACCUUAUGAAUAAGCAUCGGCUAACUCCGUGCCAGCAGCCGCGGUAAUACGGAGGAUGCGAGCGUUAUCCGGAUUUAUUGGGUUUAAAGGGUGCGUAGGCGGUUUAUUAAGUUAGUGGUUAAAUAUUUGAGCUAAACUCAAUUGUGCCAUUAAUACUGGUAAACUGGAGUACAGACGAGGUAGGCGGAAUAAGUUAAGUAGCGGUGAAAUGCAUAGAUAUAACUUAGAACUCCGAUAGCGAAGGCAGCUUACCAGACUGUAACUGACGCUGAUGCACGAGAGCGUGGGUAGCGAACAGGAUUAGAUACCCUGGUAGUCCACGCCGUAAACGAUGCUCACUGGUUCUGUGCGAUAUAUUGUACGGGAUUAAGCGAAAGUAUUAAGUGAGCCACCUGGGGAGUACGUCGGCAACGAUGAAACUCAAAGGAAUUGACGGGGGCCCGCACAAGCGGAGGAACAUGUG
rnacentral:rRNA from 1 species